CGUGUAUUAAAAAGAAACACAAAUAUUGGAUUUAAGUUCUCUACAUUAAGUGUACAAAGAAUGAAGUAUUGCGUGCGGUUAAAUGAAGACGCAGGGAAGUUGAACAUGGACCAGGUAGACGAGAAACGACGUUCAGCCAGCCCGAUACCGCCAUUAUUAAAACGAAGAAUGUUUACGAGAGAACGGAUUAGAUUUAAGAACUUGUGUCGGAAGAAAUGCGUGUCCCUUGCGUGACCCGCCAAUGACGGCUUGUAUACGCGGGUUGGAUUCACGAGAUCUCCGCGAACGUCGGUUUGCCGGUCGAGAGGUGAAUAAAGUUGUGGAGGAAAAUACUGGACAACUGUGUCCGCGAUGAAAAGCAGCAGUGGCGAUGCACGGGGC
ensembl:lncRNA